rnacentral:rRNA from 1 species
CUUUCUCCGCCGGCGACCGGCGCACGGGUGAGUAACACGUAUGCAACCUGCCCCUGUCAGGGGGACAACCCGCCGAAAGGCGGGCUAAACCCGCGUACAUGCCACCGGGGCAUCCCCGGAGGCAGGAAAGGCUUCGGCCGGACAGGGAUGGGCAUGCGGCGCAUUAGGCAGUAGGCGGGGUAACGGCCCACCUAACCGACGAUGCGUAGGGGUUCUGAGAGGAAGGUCCCCCACACUGGUACUGAGACACGGACCAGACUCCUACGGGAGGCAGCAG